rnacentral:lncRNA from 1 species
CAGGGAGGCUACCCCAUCAGGCUGAGGGGAAGAAAGGACCUCCUUGAACCCUGUAGGCCAACACAAGUGGAGAUGAAGAUGCUGUGUUAGGUGUGCUAGCAAAGCUUCAGGAUGCUGCUCUUUGUUGGUGAGAGGAGGGUGCUCACAGGGAUGGCUGUGGGGCCAUCAGCCAUCGGGCCUGAUCAGCCAUCGGGCAGAACUCAGCUGUGAGCGAAAAACUGAUGGGCCAGGUAGGUGUUGCAGUUGGAUUCGUUUGCUCUGUUUUGCUUUCGAUCUCAUCCUCAGCAGCACAAAACCAAAAUUUUGUUGCAUCAGUUCCUAUUCUGCAGUUUAUUUCAGAAACCAGUUACACCCUUCACAUUUAAAUGCCGAAUAAAACAAAACCCUAUCUUUACAGUAUGUUUUCCAUAGUUUGGGGCUCUCUCUUCCAUUUGUCCUAGAGCAAUUUAAAUACUGAUUACAGUGAAAAUGGAAAUUUCUAUGAUAAGGAACUUAUGCUGAGGUAAAUGCAGAAGAGGAAUUGUGUUUUACCCUGAACAGUCCACCUGUGAGAUGUUGCUCUGGCUGAGCAGUGCCUGUUCCCAGUAACAACACUGGGGUCAUUGGUGACUUUGGGCAGUGCAAGUAAAACAGUGUUUUGGUUUCUGUCUCAGUAUACCUCAAUGAGGAUGGCGGUGGCUUUCUGGCCCUGCUUUGGUAGGAAGAUAAUCAUGUAGGUGGCCCAUGUAUAUACACAGUGACUGCACUGUAUAGGUCUUUCUGACUCUUUUUGUGUGAUCAUCUAUCCGUCAGCUCAGCUGCUGAGCCAAAUCCUCACUUUUGGACUUUUGACAUAAAUCCUCUCAGUUUUUCCGCGUCUGCUGAGGCUAAUGCAGACGGGGAAGGGGCAGGAGCAGCAGGCAGCCCUGCCAACCCGUGCCGCAUGAAGGCUGUGCCUGGGUGGCAAGGGGCGGCUGCAGUGCUGGCAGCCCCAGCAUCCCCUGUUACCAUGGCACUGCCGACAUUCUCCGGGCUUCUUCAUAUUCCUCGAAAAAAUGCUUGGGGCAAACACCUUCUUUCGCAGAAAUUUGGCAUGACCGUCUCCUUCGCCACUGGCCUGUUCUUCCACCCUUCUCCCCACAAAGAGAACAUACUGCAGUGCUGCAAAGUGUUCUACAGCAGAUCUUAAGCAUGUAAGAUCAACAGGACUGAAAUACAUGGCUAAAAUAUUGUCUGAAGUGCUGACUGCUGCCACAGAAGAAUUCUAAUAAACGUUAUACUUGAGCGUAAAAGUGCUUCUUU